rnacentral:rRNA from 1 species
GACUGUGGUCUGCAACCCGACCACACGAAGCUGGAAUCGCUAGUAAUCGCGGAUCAGAAUGCCGCGGUAAAUACGUUCCCGGGUCUUGUACACACCGCCCGUCACACCAUGGGAGUCAGCAACGCCCGAAGUCAGUGACCCAACCUUUAAGGAGGGAGCUGCCGAAGGCGGGGCAGGUGACUGGGGUGAAGUCGUAACAAGGUACC